rnacentral:rRNA from 2 species
GGCGGACGGGUGAGUAAUACUUAGGAAUCUACCUAGUAGUGGGGGAUAGCUCGGGGAAACUCGAAUUAAUACCGCAUACGUCCUACGGGAGAAAGGGGGCAACUUGUUGCUCUCGCUAUUAGAUGAGCCUAAGUCGGAUUAGCUAGAUGGUGGGGUAAAGGCCUACCAUGGCGACGAUCUGUAGCUGGUCUGAGAGGAUGAUCAGCCACACCGGGACUGAGACACGGCCCGGACUCCUACGGGAGGCAGCAGUGGGGAAUAUUGGACAAUGGGGGGAACCCUGAUCCAGCCAUGCCGCGUGUGUGAAGAAGGCCUUUUGGUUGUAAAGCACUUUAAGCAGUGAAGAAGACUCUUCGGUUAAUACCCGGGGACGAUGACAUUAGCUGCAGAAUAAGCACCGGCUAACUCUGUGCCAGCAGCCGCGGUAAUACAGAGGGUGCAAGCGUUAAUCGGAAUUACUGGGCGUAAAGCGAGCGUAGGUGGCUUGAUAAGUCAGAUGUGAAAUCCCCGGGCUUAACCUGGGAACUGCAUCUGAAACUGUUAGGCUAGAGUAGGUGAGAGGGAAGUAGAAUUUCAGGUGUAGCGGUGAAAUGCGUAGAGAUCUGAAGGAAUACCGAUGGCGAAGGCAGCUUCCUGGCAUCAUACUGACACUGAGGCUCGAAAGCGUGGGUAGCAAACAGGAUUAGAUACCCUGGUAGUCCACGCCGUAAACGAUGUCUACUAGUCGUUGGGUCCCUUGAGGACUUAGUGACGCAGCUAACGCAAUAAGUAGACCGCC